CUUUCUUCUGUUCUUGUCGUCUUCUCCCAUGAUUUUUAAUCAAUCGGAACAUCCGUAAAAUUCACCAGUGGUUGAAUAAUCCGAGCAUCAGUAUCCAAGGGAAGGUAACCAUUAUCAAGUUAAUUUUGGAUCUUCGAUUCGAAUUGGCUUGGCUAGGUUAGGUGGUUUAGAGAUUGUGAUUCGUGAGCUUAAUAUCUGGGAAAACGAUUCAAGUAGAUGGUAUUUGUUGACGAUAGCAGAUGCGUUCUUAUUAAUACAGGAGGGGUUAAAUUUCUUGUAGAAGCGGCUAAAGUUGGUUGAAGCAGGAGUGAUUCCAUCACGCCAGUCACCGAAACUGGUUCGAUUCCUUUGUAUGUGGAGCUUCUCUCGGGACGAGAUCCCAUGGGAAAAGAAAUUGCAGAAGAUGUGUUCUGUAUACUAGCUGUAGGAGAAUCUCUGUUCAGAAUGAAGAUGGAACAAAGACUGAAACAGGUGGAACCACAGUCUCUCAUGUGUCUGAUCUAGUUGGCCCUGUUUUCCUCAAAACAGGUGGUCAUUUUGUGAUCUCAAUUAAGGCAAACUGUAGCGACUCAACGGUUCCAGCAGAAGCUGUGUUUCAGAGCGAAGUGAAGAAGCUGCAACAGGAGGAAUACAAGCCAGCAGAGCAGGUGACGCUCGAGCCAUACAAGCUGGUUGAUGCUUUGAUGAUCACGUACACAAGCUGGUUCAAGUAUGAAGCAUUGUCUCUAGGUUAGUCGGGUAACACAUGUCCACGUGGCGACCAUUCCAUACAUUGUCCGCGAGGAUGGCGUUAACGGCGUCUGUAGGAUGAAACUGGUCCCACCAGAGAUGUCCGGUGGCGUCGGGGCAAGCCAUCUCCGGCGAGAUGCACGAGUUGGUGGUUCUUGAGGAUGUCCAUUGCGCUUUGGAAGACGUCGCAGUAGAUAACGGAUGCGCCUGGAAGCUCACGGUUGAGCUGGUCUACAGUGUAUCUCAUGACGAAGUUGGAUUCCACGAUCAUGCUGUUCACGUCUUCUGCACAUUCUCCGUUCUGGCUCUUGUAUUUCCACAGGUAGUACGGUGCACAGCCUAUCGGUGGCAAACCCAUCACCACCAUCCUCCUAACCUUGACAUUGUACAAGGUCUGAGAAAACAAAACAUAGUAAUUCUCUUAUUGGUGAGAUCAAAGGAUGAUAUAUAACCCAAUGACGAGGAAAUUACACAUGUCUCAAUGAUCUUUAGGCUAUCAAUAUGCAGCUUUAAGAGCUUUCAGAUACCAUUCA